rnacentral:rRNA from 1 species
AUUGAACGCUGGCGGUAUGCUUAACACAUGCAAGUCGAACGGCAGCACGAGAGAGUUUACUCUUUUGGUGGCGAGUGGCGGACGGGUGAGUAAUACAUAGGAAUCUGCCUUAUAGUUUGGGAUAACUACUCGAAAGAGUGGCUAAUACCGGAUGUGGACUACGGUUUAAAGCAGGGGAUCUUCGGACCUUGCGCUAUAAGAUGAGCCUAUGCAAGAUUAGCUAGUUGGUGAGGUAAAGGCUCACCAAGGCGACGAUCUUUAGCUGGUCUGAGAGGAUGAUCAGCCACACUGGGACUGAGACACGGCCCAGACUCCUACAGGAGGCAGCAGUGGGGAAUAUUGGACAAUGGGCGGAAGCCUGAUCCAGCAAUACCGCGUGUGUGAAGAAGGCCUUCGGGUUGUAAAGCACUUUUGUCAGGGAGAAUGGUAGUAGAGGUUAAUACCCUCUGCUAUUGAUGUUACCUGAAGAAUAAGCACCGGCUAACUCCGUGCCAGCCGCCGCCGUAA